rnacentral:lncRNA from 1 species
UUUUUUUUUUUUUUUUUUUUUUCUGGCGUAGGUGACUAAGGCAAAACACAAACAUGCAGAAGUGAGGGGAAAGGUGGUGGAUUUGUGGAAUAUAAGAUUGCCUGAGGAUCCAUGCCUGGACUGUCUGUCACUUGAUGACCCAGAAUAUGGACGAUGUUGUUGAUGUUUACAUCUUUAGCUGGGUUAAGCUUUUCUCCAAGAUGCUUCUUUAGGUGAGGAGGCGAAAAUGUACGUAGCUGACACCAAUGCGAGUGCAUUUUGUGCAUUUUUUUCUUUACGAUUUUCCUUAAAUUUUUAUUAAAGCAAUGACCUGGUCUAUUAAAUAUAAUACUAUAAUGUACAAAGCAAACCUGGACACUUACCAUAACUCUGAUAUGUAAGAAAUUCCUCUUGGAUGGUCAGAAUGAUCUCUACCACGUCCCCCAACGUUGCCGUCACGGUCACUACAUUUACGACAUGUUUGCUACGGUCAGCAGGAACAUCUUCAGAAAACUAUUUGACAGAACCGGAAACUAUUAUAGUACCUAUAUCCUCCAGAGGAAUGUUCAUCCCGACUAGAAUAACCAUAAUCAUGGUAUCCAUAACCUCUAGGUGGUGGACCAUCAUCCCUGGUGUCUCAGGAACUCGUAUGAAUUCUGCUUCCGUAAGUUAAAGCAACAAAUUCUAAAUUAUCAACUUCUCGUAUCCCAAACAUAACUAACUUACAACUUAAACACAAUAAAGGACCGAACACACGAAUAGUUGUUUCUCCAAAUACUAUAUGCAAAUGCUCAAAAGGCACAUGGAAGAAAUCAUCAUAAUUAGUUAUUCAGAAAAUGCAUUUCAAAACCAAAAUGAGAUAGCAUACUUCACACACACUGGAAUGGGAAUACAUUUUAAAAAGCAGGAAAUAUCAAGUGUUUGAGAGGACGUAGAUAAUUUGGAACCCUGACACAAUGCUAGCUGGAAUGGAAAAUGAUGCAGCUACUAUGAAGAAAUGUGGUGGUUCCCCAAGAAAAUAAACACAAUUAUCACAGGACCAAGCAAUUCCAUUCUCACAUACUGAGAAAUGAAUAAGGGUGCCCAGACAAAUAGGUAUGUAGAAAUACAGUGGUGGAAACAACCCAAAUAAAAUAGUGGGUCAGCAGCUUGUGUAAGGAAAGAAGUGCUGCAAUGUAAACGAUCCUUCAGGGCAUCGUGCAAAGGAAAGGAGACAGUUAUAAAAAGUCCUGUAUUGUUUGAGCCCACCAACAUGAAAUACCCGGAACAGGUACCUUCAGAGGCAGAAAACAGAUUGCUGUUUGUUAGGGGCUGAGGGAAGGGAGAAAACGAAAGGAACUGCUUAACUGGUAGUGGGGUUGUAGUUUGGAGUGAUGAAAAUGUUCUGGAACUAGAUGGAGGUGGUUGUUGCACAACACAGGUUGUAUUACACGCCACUUAACUAUUUACCUUAAAAUGUUUAAUUUUGUUUUGUGAA